rnacentral:rRNA from 1 species
AGUGAACGCUGGCGGUAGGCCUAACACAUGCAAGUCGAACGGCAGCACAGUAAGAGCUUGCUCUUACGGGUGGCGAGUGGCGUACGUGUGAGGAAUACAUCGUAAUCUACUUUUUCGUGGGGGAUAACGUAGGGAAACUUACGCUAAUACCGCAUACGACCUACGGGUGAAAGCAUGGGAUCUUCGGACCUUUCGCGAUUUUAUGAGCCGAUGUCGGAUUAGAUAGUUGGCGGGGUAAAGGCCCACCAAGGCGACGAUCCGUAGCUGGUCUGAGAGGAUGAUAAGCGAAACGGGAACUGAGACACGGUCCAGAGACCUACGGGAGGAAGCAGUGGGGAAUAUUGGACAAUGGGCGCAAGCCUGAUCCAGCCAUACCGCGUGGGUGAAGAAGGCCUUAGGGUUGUAAAGACCUUUUGUUGGGAAAGAAAAGCAGCAGGUUAAUACCCCGCUGUUAUGACGGUACCCAAAGAAUAAGCACCGGCUAACUUCGUG